UGGCCUCGGCGGGGCGGGGCGUGGACAGAGGGCGUGCCCGAACGGCUCCGCCGGGACCGCGACUGUCGCGCCGAGGGCGCAGUGUCCCAAGUCCCCGGCUCUCCACGCCCAUCUCUCUGCUCCUCGCCGGCGGCCCCACCGGGAAGGUGGCUGUCCCCAGCCUCCCCCACUCUUCACUUGUUUUCCCGUGGAACCCUGUGUUCCAGGAACUUGGCAUUGAUACUUGGUAGGGAGACCCCACCACGGACCCAGCACCGGUCACGACCACCUUGAAGACAGGACGGAGGCAGCUGGCGGGGCCUACCAGAGGCCCGUGGAAACGUGUAAGACCCCUCAGCCACCUACGCCGGGCAGGUGUGCGGGUUCGAAGGCAUCGGCCUGUUGCAGCAAAGUCACAAAACUGUCAUUCCUCUUUGUCCCCAAAGUCUGUUGUUCGGGUUGUAUUUUGGCUCCGGAGCACAGAGGUCGGUUUUCGAUGAUCACCGUCCAGAGUGACGGGGUUCUGGAGGCAGGUGGCCCGUAAGGUGAGCCUGGCCAGCAACAUGCCCCUCCCCCACCACACCGCCCCUUCUGCCUGCGCUCGUCUAGGGCAGAGGACACGAGUCCACUCGGGCAGGAUAGUGUGCCACUGGGGGCUGGCGGGUGAGCCAUGCCGGUGACCUGGCCUUCCCUCUCCGUGGGGGCCACAUUCAGAGCCGCGUGUAGGUUGUCCAUGUGGAGCACAGGCUUCCCUCUGCACGUGAUUCUGUCCUUGACCCCCUUGGGCAGCGGGCCCGCAGAGCCUAGCACCCCAGACCCCCCAUUUGGGUCCCAGAAGGCCCAGGCUGGUGUGUUGUGUCUCCUCCAUCCCUGUCCUUUGUGACACUUGGAAAUGCCUUCAGCCGGAGGCCCCUGGGAUCUGACUGUCCGAUGUGAAGGUGCAGACGUUCACCCGUCGGGGAGGUGGAGUGAGCUUCUGGGUCCCUCGACCAACAAAUCGGGCAACUUUUGUCUAGAAAAGAGAGCCAAGUGCAUGUUGCUUUAGUGAAGUUUAUUCCAAGUUACAGUUCAACAUCAGCCUCACCCGAUAAAGUAUCUCUGUGGGAACCGGACAAAAAGCCAGAGCCCCCCCCCCCCCCCACCCGGCCCCGGCCCAACGGCUAUUUGGUUAGCGGUUCAGCCUGACCCUAGCGCUCGUCCCGUGCCAGGUAAGUAACACAUGAUCUUGGUUUGUUUUCCUCGCGGUGGUGGACUCAUGCGGCCCAUGUCCUUCUCCAUGGUUUUGUCCCCAUUCUUUGAACAGCCCUCCUUGUCCCCAUUCUUUGAACAGCUUCAUGGGGUUCCAGAACACGCGUCCUGCUGGAGGACAUCUCCUGGGAGCCUCCUGUAUGCACGUGGGUCGUGUCAGUUUCCUGGGGCGGCUGAAACAACAGAACGUGUUGUCUCCGUUCUGCAGUCACAAGCCCGAGGUCGAGGCAUCGGCAGGGCCACGCUGCCUCAGAAACCUCGAGGGGUGGGUCCUCCCUGCCUCAACCUGCCUCUGGUGUUCCUUGGCUCAUGGACGCACGGCUCCGGUCUCUGCCUUCGUUGUCAUGGGUGUUUCCCUGCGUGUCUGUGUCUUCACGUGGCCAUCUUCUUAUAAGGACACCAAUGCUGUUGGGUUAGGGCCACCUUAUCCGGGGGACUGCAUCUGCCAGAGCCCUAUUUCCAAAUCAGCUCACAUCCCGAAGCUAGGACUUUGGGGGACACAGUUCAAUCCACACCCUCCAUGCAGAAUAGGGUCCCAGAAUACUGCCGGCUCAGAGUAGGCCUGCUGUAAUCUAGUAGAUCCAAAGUUUAGAUCCACCGCAAUCUCUGGCCCAGCGGCCAUGGCCGCCCUCCCCAUCCGGGAUGAGGACUUUUGUCCUUUGGGCUUCAAUGUCACCUGCUCCCUGACACCUAGCCGGUGCCGGGGUGUUCCUUCCUUAUUCUGGUGAGUGGUCGGCCCUUUUCUUUCAGCUCUUUGUAAAGUUAUUCUUUUUCUACUUUACUUGUUGUAAACGUUGCUGUCUCCUAAUCGAUGGUGUGUCUCAGCAUAACGUCUUUCACGUUAAUGUUUCAUAUCUUUGCGUGGCGAUACUUUAUGCCUUGAGGUUUUCUUUCUUGUCGAAAAAUGCUUCCUAAUCUUCAAGAUUAUGGAAUGCUUGCACUACUUUGUUUUUGCUUUUUGAAAAGAGUUAAUGGAUUUCCUAUUUUUAGAGCAUUUUUAGGUUUGCUGAAAAACUGAUCAGAAAGUAGUUCCCAUAUCCCCCUACCCCCAGUUCCUCCUGUUACUAACAUCUUGCAUUAGUGUGGUUUACUUGUUAUAACUGAUGAGCCAAUACUGAUACGUUCCAUAGUUAACCUCAGGGCUCACUCUAGGCCCGCACAUUCUGCGGGUUUGGACAGACGUGUAAUCCGUGUGCCCGAUACUGAGAGUGUCACACGGAGUAGCUUCACCGCCCUGAACCCUCUGUGCUGACUGUCCCUCCCAUCCCCCCGACCCCUGGCCCCCACUCGUCUUUUACCGUCUCCACGGUUUUGCCUUUUCCAGAAUGUCACAGACUUGGAAUCGUACCGUGCGUAGCCUUUUCGGACUGGCUUCUUUUACCUCGUAAUAUGCAUCUAGGGCCCCUCCAGGUCUUUUCACGGCUCGACAGCCCGUUCCUACUUAGUGCCGACCCACAUCCCGUUGUCUGGAUGGACCACAGGUUGUCCGUUCACCUGCUGACGGACACCUCGGCUGUUCCAGGGUUUGGGGGCUCUGAAUGAAGCUGCUGUGAACACCCGUGUGCAGGUUGUCGUGUGGACACAAGUUUUCAACUCUUUAGGUAAAUACCAAGGAACGUGAUUCCAGGAUCAGGUGGUAAGAGUGUUUAGUUUGUAAGAAACCGCCAAACUGGUCUUCCAAAGUGGCUGCCACAUUUUGUGUCCCCUCCAGCCACGAGUGAGUGUUGCUGCUGCUUUAUACCCUCACCUGCAUGUGGUGGUGUUAGUGUUUUGGAUUUUAGCCAUUCUAACAAAUGUGUGUUUACUUUUUUUUUAAUGUUUGGAUCUUUAGUCACAAAGAACGACUUUCUGCUAGCUGAAGCAGCCACAUCAAUAACAGACAGGCUGUAGGCAGAGGCAAGGAAGAACACAGCAAGGAAGGCAGGCUGAUAAAAGGUUCCGUUUACAGGGAAGAGCUAGUGAUCUAAACUUGUACGCAAUUAAUAAUUGCUUCAAAAAUACAUAAAAUAAAAAUGAUAGAACUGCAAAGAGAAAUGGACAAA